UACGAAGGGGGCUAGCGUUGCUCGGAAUGACUGGGCGUAAAGGGCGCGUAGGCGGAUGGCACAGUCAGAUGUGAAAUUCCCGGGCUUAACCUGGGGGCUGCAUUUGAUACGUGUUGUCUUGAGUUCGGAAGAGGGUCGUGGAAUUCCCAGUGUAGAGGUGAAAUUCGUAGAUAUUGGGAAGAACACCGGUGGCGAAGGCGGCUCUCUGGACCGUAACUGACGCUGAGGCGCGAAAGCGUGGGGAGCAAACAGG
rnacentral:rRNA from 1 species